UGCAUAUCAAAAGCGGAGGAAAAGAAACCAACAGGGAUUGCCUCAGUAACGGCGAGUGAAGCGGCAAAAGCUCAAAUUUGAAAUCCUUCGGGAGUUGUAAUUUGUAGGUUGGGAGACCCCGCGGCUAGUGGCACCAAGUCCCUUGGAACAGGGCGCCUUAGAGGGUGAGAGCCCCGUAGGUACCACAACACCGUCUUGUGUCUCCUCUCCAAAGAGUCGAGUUGUUUGGGAAUGCAGCUCAAAGUGGGUGGUAAAUUCCAUCUAAAGCUAAAUACCGGCGAGAGACCGAUAGCGAACAAGUACAGUGAUGGAAAGAUGAAAAGCACUUUGAAAAGAGAGUGAAACAGUACGUGAAAUUGUUGAAAGGGAAGGGCUUGCAAGCAGACACGGCCUUCGUGCCGGGCCAGCAUCGGUUGCUAGGGGUGGAUAAGGAACAAGGAAUGUAGCUCCUCGGAGUAUUAUAGCCUUGCGCGAUACACCCACUGGCGACCGAGGCCUGCGGUAUUCUUUACCUAGGAUGCUGGCGUAAUGGUUGCAAGCCGCCCGUCUUGAAACACGGACC
rnacentral:rRNA from 1 species